rnacentral:rRNA from 1 species
AUUGAACGCUGGCGGCAGGCUUAACACAUGCAAGUCGAGCGAGCGGCGGACGGGUGAGUAAUGCCUGGGAAAAUGCCUGAUGGAGGGGGAUAACUACUGGAAACGGUAGCUAAUACCGCAUCCCAUCAGCUGUGCCCAGAGGGGAUUAGAUAGUAGGUGGGGUAAUGGCGCACCUAGGCGACGAUCCCUAGCUGGUCUGAGAGGAUGACCACCCACACUGGAACUGUGACACGGGCCAGACUCCUAUGGGAGGCAGCAGUGGAGAAUAUUGCACAAUGGGCGCAAGCCUGAUGCAGCCAUGCCGCGUGUCUGAAGAAGGCCUUCGGGUUGUAAAGCACUUGCAGCGAGGAGGCGUUACUCGAAGAAGAAGCACCGGCUAACUCCGUGCCAGCCGCCGCGGUAAUAC